CCGAGGUGCCGGGAUUGCAGACGGAGUCUCGUUCACUCAGUGCUCAAUGGUGCCCAGGCUGGAGUGCAGUGGCGUGAUCUCGGCUCGCUACAACCUCCACCUCCCAGCCGCCUGCCUUGGCCUCCCAAAGUGCCGAGAUUGCAGCCUCUGCCCGGCCGCCACCCCGUCUGGGAAGUGAGGAGCGUCUCCGCCUGGCCGCCCAUCGUCUGGGAUGUGAGGAGCCCCUCUGCCUGGCUGCCCAGUCUGGAAAGUGAGGAGCGUCUCUGCCCGGCCGCCAUCCCAUCUAGGAAGUGAGGAGCGCCUCUUCCCGGCCGCCAUCACAUCUGGGAAGUGAGGAGCGUCUCUGCCCAGCCGCCCAUUGUCUGAGAUGUGGGGAGCACCUCUGCCCUGCCGCCCCGUCCGGGAUGUGAGGAGCGUCUCUGCCUGGCCGCCCUGUCUGAGAAGUGAGGAGACCCUCUGCCUGGCAACCGCCCCGUCUGAGAAGUGAGGAGCCCCUCCGCCCGGCAGCCGCCCCGUCUGAGAAGUAAGGAGCCCCUCCGCCCAGCAGCCACCCCGUCUGGGAAGUGAGGAGCGUCUCCGCCCGGCAGCCACCUUGUCCGGGAGGGAGGUGGGGGGAUCAGCCCCCCGCCCGGCCAGCCGCCCCGUCUGGGAGGUGAGGGGCGCCUCUGCCCAGCCGCCCCUACUGGGAAGUGAGGAGACCCUCUGCCCGGCCAGCCGCUCCGUCCGGGAGGGAGGUGGGGGGGGGUCAGCCCCCCGCCCGGCCAGCCGCCCCGUCCGGGAAGUGAGGGGCGCCUCUGCCCGGCCGCCCCUACUGGGAAGUGAGGAGCCCCCCUGCCCGGCCAGCCGCCCCGUCCGGGAGGGAGGUGGGGGGGUCAGCCCCCUCGCCCAGCCAGCCGCCCCGUCCAGGAGGUGAGGGGCGCCUCUGCCCGGCCGCCCCUACUGGGAAGUGAGGAGCCCCUCUGCCCAGCCACCACCCUGUCUGGGAGGUGUACCCAACAGCUCAUUGAGAACGGGCCAUGAUGACAAUGGCGGUUUUGUGGAAUAGAAAGGCGGGAAAGGUGGGGAAAAGAUUGAGAAAUCGGAUGGUUGCUGUGUCUGUGUAGAAAGAGGUAGACGUGGGAGACUUUUCAUUUUGUUCUAUACUAAGAAAAAUUCUUCUGCCUUGGGAUCCUGUUGAUCUGUGACCUUACCCCCAACCCUGUGCUCUCUGAAACAUGUGCUGUGUCCACUCAGGGUUAAAUGGAUUAAGGGCGGUGCAAGAUGUGCUUUGUUAAACAGAUGCUUGAAGGCAGCAUGCCAAGAGUCGUCACCACUCCCUAAUCUCAAGUACCCAGGGACACAAACACUGCCAAAUCUCCCUCUGCGAGAAACACCCAAGAAUGAUCAAUAAAAAUAAAUAAAUAAAUAAAUAAAUAAAU
rnacentral:lncRNA from 1 species